UUUUUGUUUUUUUGUUUUUUUUUUAAUGCCAUGUCAUUUUCAUUCAGAGCAUUACCUGGAAUAUCUUCUGCCCCGUAUGAAUACCCGCUGGCUGACUUUUUAAAAGAGUUUCUCCUGCACACCCUGGCUUUAUGCCCACUGAAUGGCAAGCCUUGGUUUCAGAUGUUAAAUUUUUUUAAUCCUUCCUUCCCUCCUUAAUCCCUUCUCUGUCAUCUGCUUGGCGUCACAGAGUGGGCCGAGAGAGGUGGAAUCCCCUCUGGAAAGAGAAGAGAAAAGCCGCUGACCAGCUCCUGUGGAAGCCUUCCUGCAUUUGAAGAGUUUAUUUACUACAAAUAAUAGCAAUUAAUCAGCCGGGCAGCUGUACAUACAGGGCAGCCUCUCGACUCACGGCAUCAGGGACGUGUGAGGUCAGAAUCCUCAACCUUUAGGAGCCCUACAAAGCGAGAACCUGUAGACAACUGCAGCUUACCCUGACCGUCUGCUGGCAGGUUUCCUCAGCAGCAUCCCAGCCACAUGUCACUCACUCAGACUCACCAACCUCUGCUCAUGUGAAAUUCAUAGCAUCACAUUAGAGACAUUUUGGUUAAUUGCUUUUCUUUUAUUUUUUUGAGAUGGACUCUCACUUUUGUCGCCCAGGCUGAAGUGCAGUGGCACGAUCUCAGCUCACUGCAACCUCUGCCUCCCAGGUUCAAGCGAUUCUCCUGCCUCAGCCUCCCGAGUACCUGAGAUUAUAGGCACCCACCACCACACCCAGCUAACUUUUGUAAUUUUAGUAGAGACAGGGUUUCACCAUGUUGACCAGGCUGGUCUCGAACUCCAGACCUCAGGUAAUCCAUCCGCCUUGGCCCCCUCAAAGUGCUGGGAUUACAGGCAUGAGCCACCACGCCCAGCCAUUUUAUUUUCUUUUUGAAACUCUGUAGCCAACAGCAUUGCACAUGUUCUUCCCACUCUUGGCAAAUUUGAGAAUGCAAUACCCCUUUUGGCAUCUACAGGCUAAAAACUUCAAGUGGCUAAUUGUGUGCUGCCUGUCCCCCUUGGUGCAAAUACUGAGAGCAAAGAUCUGUUUGAGAGUAUGUUGUCCCCAAAGGCCGGAUGACAGAUGAGCUGGGCACCCGACAAUCCUGUCUUCCUCACUCCCAUCCCCCCAUCAUCUCCUGAUUACUUUGUGGACUGGAUUUCCCAAGGAACGGCCCUUCUCUCAGUCUCACAUGAUUUCGAAGCUGACUUCCCAGAGUCCCUGAGGCAGCACUGGUUUCACUGUUUCUGAGAAGGGGUGGUGCAGGCGGCGUCAGACCCCCAGGAGGACGAGAGCUAGGGUCAGAGUCUAACCAAGCCAGCUGGACCGGAAGCUUCAUGUUCUGGGAUGCAACCAGAUGCAUUUCAGAAGCGGGUGGCCUCUUCUGGAUUUCUUUGCCAAAGUUUGGAUUCUACUGAUUUGUCGUAAAUAAACUCAAUUUUCACUCCCUUCACACAAAUCAUCUUUUUUUGGAACUGGUUAAAAAAAAAAUAAAGAAUGCGCAAGUGCAUGGAAGAUGAGGAAAUCGGAGGAGCGUGACUAAGACACUAGCCCCAAAAAUGACACAAGGCAGCAAGGCCGGUGCACACUGGCCUCUGCAGCAGUGGGCAUCAUGAACUCGCCAGGGAUCCUCACCCAAACACACAGAGCGUCCAGGAACCAGGAAAGAGGAGGAGAUGCACAAAACGAGCAGCGCGCAACCUAGAGGGAGGCGG
ensembl:lncRNA